rnacentral:lncRNA from 1 species
AGUAUAAUAUAAUCAAAACUGUUUGAAUAAGCCUAUAUAUGUUUGGAAUUAUAAAACAAAUCUGAACAGUAUAUAUAGGUAGGUCAUAGGUUGAGGAGGUGAAUAAAAUGAGAGAAAAGGAGGGGAAACUCUACCAUAUUAUUUUAUAAAAUAAUGUGCUGUUUGAUUUUUUUUCAAAAAGCAAAUAUUACUUUGAUAAUAAUUAAAGAAAACUGAAAACCACACAUAGUUCGACCUUCUUCUUCUAAAGAUGAAGAAACUAAAACUAGAAAUUCUUUUUUUCUUUUUGCAAAGCAAAAGCAAGUUUAUUAAGAAAGUGAAGGGAUAAAGAAUGAUCCCCCAUAGGGAGAGCAGCAACUUGGGCCACUAGGCUGAUUAUACUGACUGUUACUUCUUGGUUAUAUACUUAACAAAAGGUAGAUUACUCAUGAGCUUUCUGGGAAAGAAGUGUGCCAUUCCCAAAACAGGAAAACUCAGAGAAAUUCUUGAAUCAUAGAAAUUAAUAACCGAAUGACAAUUUAGGGAUCAUUAAGCCCACCCUCCUUAUAUUACAGAUAAGGAAACUGAAGCACAGAGAAGCAAAGCAAGCUAUAGUUCCUAAGACCAAAGCCUGGAGAGAAAAGAAGUUGAACACAUUGAUGCGGGGAAAAUGCAGGUUCUCAGCAUAUGCUGUGAGAUCUAUGAACGCUGACUCACUCAUUUUGGAUGAGGGUCACCUUUGAGCAGAUUGGCUAUGUCUCCCCCGCUCUGGCUCUCCAUGCCAUCUCCAAAUGAGAAGUUGGCAUUUCACAUGGAAGGAAAAUAGAAGCUGAAGUCAAUAAACCACAACAUCUGGAACUGGAGGAAAGAUUUCACUGGAAAGAACUUGACAAACUCUGAAAACAAAGUUCUAGACUUUACUAAUUUAUUUUGGCUGCAAAGCCGAGCUCAAUGCAAAGCUCAAAGAGGAUUUGUCCGAGGCUCUUUUCAAAGAAGUAAAAAGCCAACCCGCACUAAAAUUAAUGCAUCGACUGCAUAAACAGUAGAGAUAGUUAUCUGAUACUGAGGGAAUAGAGCCACACUAGGCCUUUUUGUUAUUUAUGGGAUUAUUAUUGGAGGAAACAGAAGCAAUUAGAUAUCCCCUGCUUUCAGAGCAGGGGAAGGAAAAAAGGUGUCAAACAUAGUUUUUCAAUUUGGUCUCUUGAUCAUUUCAUUCUCGCUACAUCUUAAAAUCCAAAUAUACACAUUCCUCCAGUGCCCCACUGGUCUCUUAGUGUUCCUUUAAAUAUUUGUCCUUCGUGAAAACUCCGUGAAUUCUGAAU